rnacentral:rRNA from 1 species
GAUGAACGCUAGCGGGAGGCCUAACACAUGCAAGCCGAGCGGUAUUGUUUCUUCGGAAAUGAGAGAGCGGCGUACGGGUGCGGAACACGUGUGCAACCUGCCUUUAUCUGGGGGGAUAGCCUUUCGAAAGGAAGAUUAAUACUCCAUAACAUAUUGAACGGCAUCGUUUGAUAUUGAAAGCUCCGGCGGAUAGAGAUGGGCACGCGCAAGAUUAGCUAGUUGGUGAGGUAACGGCUCACCAAGGCGAUGAUCUUUAGGGGGCCUGAGAGGGUGAUCCCCCACACUGGUACUGAGACACGGACCAGACUCCUACGGGAGGCAGCAGUGAGGAAUAUUGGUCAAUGGGUGCAAGCCUGAACCAGCCAUCCCGCGUGAAGGACGACUGCCCUAUGGGUUGUAAACUUCUUUUGUAUAGGGAUAAACCUACCCUCGUGAGGGUAGCUGAAGGUACUAUACGAAUAAGCACCGGCUAACUCCGUGCCAGCAGCCGCGGUAAACUGUCUACG